rnacentral:rRNA from 1 species
UGGGGAAUUUUGGACAAUGGGCGAAAGCCUGAUCCAGCAAUGCCGCGUGUGUGAAGAAGGCCUUCGGGUUGUAAAGCACUUUUGUCCGGAAAGAAAUCCUUGGCUCUAAUACAGUCGGGGGAUGACGGUACCGGAAGAAUAAGCACCGGCUAACUACGUGCCAGCAGCCGCGGUAAUACGUAGGGUGCAAGCGUUAAUCGGAAUUACUGGGCGUAAAGCGUGCGCAGGCGGUUUGCUAAGACCGAUGUGAAAUCCCCGGGCUCAACCUGGGAACUGCAUUGGUGACUGGCAGGCUAGAGUAUGGCAGAGGGGGGUAGAAUUCCACGUGUAGCAGUGAAAUGCGUAGAGAUGUGGAGGAAUACCGAUGGCGAAGGCAGCCCCCUGGGCCAAAUACUGACGCUCAUGCACGAAAGCGUGGGGGAGCAAAACAGGAUUAGAUACCCUGGUAGUCCACGCCCUAAACGAUGUCAACUAGUUGUUGGGGAUUCAUUUCCUUAGUAACGUAGCUAACGCGUGAAGUUGACCGCCUGGGGAGUACGGUCGCAAGAUUAAAACUCAAAUGAAUUGACGGGGU